GAUGAACGCUAGCUACAGGCUUAACACAUGCAAGUCGAGGGGCAGCAUGAGGUCAGCUUGCUGACUUUGGUGGCGACCGGCGCACGGGUGAGUAACGCGUAUCCAACCUUCCCGCGACUGGGGGAUAACCUUGCGAAAGUAAGACUAAUACCCCAUGGUUUCCGAGGCGGACAUCCAAUUUGGAAUAAAGAUUCAUCGGUUGUGGAUGGGGAUGCGUCUGAUUAGCUUGUUGGCGGGGUAACGGCCCACCAAGGCUACGAUCAGUAGGGGUUCUGAGAGGAAGGUCCCCCACAUUGGAACUGAGACACGGUCCAAACUCCUACGGGAGGCAGCAGUGAGGAAUAUUGGUCAAUGGACGAGAGUCUGAACCAGCCAAGUAGCGUGCAGGAUGACGGCCCUAUGGGUUGUAAACUGCUUUUAUACGGGAAUAAAGUCAACCACGUGUGGUUGUUUGUAUGUACCGUAUGAAUAAGGACCGGCUAAUUCCGUGCCAGCCGCCGCCGUAAUAC
rnacentral:rRNA from 1 species